AGAGUUUGAUCCUGGCUCAGGAUGAACGCCGGCGGUGUGCCUAAUACAUACAAGUCGUACGCACUGGCCCAACUGAUUGAUGGUGCUUGCACCUGAUUGACGAUGGAUCACCAGUGAGUGGCGGACGGGUGAGUAACACGUAGGUAACCUGCCCCGGAGCGGGGGAUAACAUUUGGAAACAGAUGCUAAUACCGCAUAACAACAAAAGCCACAUGGCUUUUGUUUGAAAGAUGGCCUUGGCUAUCACUCUGGGAUGGACCUGCGGUGCAUUAGCUAGUUGGUAAGGUAACGGCUUACCAAGGCGAUGAUGCAUAGCCGAGUUGAGAGACUGAUCGGCCACAAUGGAACUGAGACACGGUCCAUACUCCUACGGGAGGCAGCAGUAGGGAAUCUUCCGCAAUGGGCGCAUGCCUGAUGGAGCAACACCGCGUGAGUGAAGAAGGGUUUCGGCUCAUAAAGCUCUGUUGUUGGAGAAGAACGUGCGUGAGAGUAACUGUUCACGCAGUGACGGUAUCCAACCAGAAAGUCACGGCUAACUACGUGCCAGCAGCCGCGGU
rnacentral:rRNA from 1 species